rnacentral:rRNA from 1 species
GGCAGCAGCCAUAUCACCCUGCAGCCCAAGACUGGUUGCCCACUGAAGCUAAGCAGGGUUGAGCCUGGUCAGUACCUGGAUGGGAGACCUCCUGGGAAAACUAGGUUGCUGCUGGAA